ACUGUGAGGUAUGCUGGAGGUAUCAGAAGUGCGAAUGCUGACAUAAGUAACGAUAAAGCGGGUGAAAAGCCCGCUCGCCGGAAGACCAAGGGUUCCUGUCCAACGUUAAUCGGGGCAGGGUGAGUCGACCCCUAAGGCGAGGCCGAAAGGCGUAGUCGAUGGGAAACAGGUUAAUAUUCCUGUACUUGGUGUUACUGCGAAGGGGGGACGGAGAAGGCUAUGUUGGCCGGGCGACGGUUGUCCCGGUUUAAGCGUGUAGGCUGGUUUUCCAGGCAAAUCCGGAAAAUCAAGGCUGAGGCGUGAUGACGAGGCACUACGGUGCUGAAGCGACAAAUGCCCUGCUUCCAGGAAAAGCCUCUAAGCAUCAGGUAACAUCAAAUCGUACCCCAAACCGACACAGGUGGUCAGGUAGAGAAUACCAAGGCGCUUGAGAGAACUCGGGUGAAGGAACUAGGCAAAAUGGUGCCGUAACUUCGGGAGAAGGCACGCUGAUAUGUAGGUGAAGCGACUUGCUCGUGGAGCUGAAAUCAGUCGAAGAUACCAGCUGGCUGCAACUGUUUAUUAAAAACACAGCACUGUGCAAACACGAAAGUGGACGUAUACGGUGUGACGCCUGCCCGGUGCCGGAAGGUUAAUUGAUGGGGUUAGCGGUAACGCGAAGCUCUUGAUCGAAGCCCCGGUAAACGGCGGCCGUAACUAUAACGGUCCUAAGGUAGCGAAAUUCCUUGUCGGGUAAGUUCCGACCUGCACGAAUGGCGUAAUGAUGGCCAGGCUGUCUCCACCCGAGACUCAGUGAAAUUGAACUCGCUGUGAAGAUGCAGUGUACCCGCGGCAAGACGGAAAGACCCCGUGAACCUUUACUAUAGCUUGACACUGAACAUUGAGCCUUGAUGUGUAGGAUAGGUGGGAGGCUUUGAAGUGUGGACGCCAGUCUGCAUGGAGCCGACCUUGAAAUACCACCCUUUAAUGUUUGAUGUUCUAACGUGGGCCCCUUACCGGGGUUGCGGACAGUGUCUGGUGGGUAGUUUGACUGGGGCGGUCUCCUCCUAAAGAGUAACGGAGGAGCACGAAGGUUGGCUAAUCCUGGUCGGACAUCAGGAGGUUAGUGCAAUGGCAUAAGCCAGCUUGACUGCGAGCGUGACGGCGCGAGCAGGUGCGAAAGCAGGUCAUAGUGAUCCGGUGGUUCUGAAUGGAAGGGCCAUCGCUCAACGGAUAAAAGGUACUCCGGGGAUAACAGGCUGAUACCGCCCAAGAGUUCAUAUCGACGGCGGUGUUUGGCACCUCGAUGUCGGCUCAUCACAUCCUGGGGCUGAAGUAGGUCCCAAGGGUAUGGCUGUUCGCCAUUUAAAGUGGUACGCGAGCUGGGUUUAGAACGUCGUGAGACAGUUCGGUCCCUAUCUGCCGUGGGCGCUGGAGAACUGAGGGGGGCUGCUCCUAGUACGAGAGGACCGGAGUGGACGCAUCACUGGUGUUCGGGUUGUCAUGCCAAUGGCACUGCCCGGUAGCUAAAUGCGGAAGAGAUAAGUGCUGAAAGCAUCUAAGCACGAAACUUGCCCCGAGAUGAGUUCUCCCUGACUCCUUGAGAGUCCUGAAGGAACGUUGAAGACGACGACGUUGAUAGGCCGGGUGUGUAAGCGCAGCGAUGCGUUGAGCUAACCGGUACUAAUGAACCGUGAGGCUUAACCUUACAACGCCGAAG
rnacentral:rRNA from 2 species